rnacentral:rRNA from 1 species
GACGAACGCUGGCGGCGUGCCUAAUACAUGCAAGUUGAGCGAUGAAGCUUGGUGCUUGCACCAAUUUGAAGAGCAGCGAACGGGUGAGUAACGCGUGGGGAAUCUGCCUUUGAGCGGGGGACAACAUUUGGAAACGAAUGCUAAUACCGCAUAACAACUUUAAACAUAAGUUUUAAGUUUGAAAGAUGCAAUUGCAUCACUCAAAGAUGAUCCCGCGUUGUAUUAGCUAGUCGGUGAGGUAAAGGCUCACCAAGGCGAUGAUACAUAGCCGACCUGAUAGGGUGAUCGGCCACAUUGGGACUGAGACACGGCCCAAACUCCUACGGGAGGCAGCAGUAGGGAAUCUUCGGCAAUGGACGAAAGUCUGACCGAGCAACGCCGCGUGAGUGAAGAAGGUUUUCGGAUCGUAAAACUCUGUUGGUAGAGAAGAACGUUGGUGAGAGUGGAAAGCUCAUCAAGUGACGGUAACUACCCAGAAAGGGACGGCUAACUACGUG